GGGGGGUGAAUUGGUGUUAGUUCAAAAAUAAAAUCUUUUCGCAAUCUUGGUAUGAAAAUUCAAAGCUUUUGAUCUUUCCUUGAAAUGCAAGUAAUGAAAAUUUCAAUGCAGCGGAAAACGUAGUUGACUUCUCUAAAUAUAAAGUCGACUGAAAUAAAGAGUGCAGGGAUAGAGAAAAUCAAACACUGGUUUUUAUACUGGUUCGGCCAACAAUGCCUACAUCCAGUGUCCUUCCAACCUUGGAAGCAAAUGCACUAUAAUGGUUGUGGUUUUUACAACAAGGAAUUUAUAGAAGCACCACGUAAAAAUAUAAAUCUCCUCUCUAACCCAAAACCAAAUAUAGCUACACACAAAACCAGAAUUGCAGCAAGAAUCCCCUCUUAUGCAAUCUGAACCCACGCUGAACAAUCCUCAACGUGUCACCAGCACUCUUCACAAGAUGCCAAGCCUAUCACAACACGCUUCACAGGUUGCCAAGCCUAUCACAGCACACUUCCCAGGUUGCCAAGCCUUCAAUCAAAUACAACAGUCUUUACAAGAUGCCAAGCCUUCAAGAUCAAUCCAAAAGCACCUUCUUUGUGCAGAUGUUGAUCAAACAGUAUGUGCAAUUGACUCCUCAAUCUGAAUCUCUCUCAAGGAAGAUCACCACCGUCUUCUUGGAGAAUUCUUGGAGCUUCCAAAACUGAGAAAUAACUCUGAAACAGGACAAUGAAAAUGUUAGAGCAUAAGUCUCCUUCAGAAUAGAUCGUGUUUUGUUGUAUUUAUAGGUUUCCUGUCAUUCUCAGUCGAAUACCCUACUAAUCCAGUCGACUGUAUUAAAACAGUUAUAACUGACAGUCAACAUAGAGGCUCCUCAGUCAACCAAUUUAAUGCACAUUCAUGACAGUUGACUUAGUCAGUCAAUCUUAACUAACUUUUGAAAAACUAGCCGUUGGAGCAAGUAGGUAUAACAAAAUUCGAAAAAUAACAACAACACAGUCAAAUAGGUGUUCCACCAUGUCGACUGACACUUGAAAAAUACUUUUAAAUUCUUUUCAACUCAAAAUCUUAUCAAGCACAUGUUCGCAAAAUCUGUACUAAGAUUUUAGCUUAGUCGAAUCCAAUAUCAGUGUAUUUGACUGAACCAGAUCUUUGUCACAACAAAUAUAAGUUCAUAAAAGUGCUUAUGAGUUUUUCUUCAGAAAUGUGCAGAGAUAAUCAAAAUAAUUUUAUCAUACAUUUCAAUACAAGCAUGUUCUAAACAUAUAACACAUAAUCAAUUAAGGGAACAUACAUGCAAAACAAUAAAACAUGUUCAACAACGUCAUUGUUCAAAACAGUAUAGCAUAUCAGCUGAACAUGUAAUACUGGAACUUAUGUACUAUUAUUAAGCAAUGUGUUGUCAUAAUCAAAAACUAGUUUGAUAUAGAGUUUUGUCUUGUCAACAAUCUCCCCAUUUUUUGAUGAUGCACAACCAUGAUUAAUAACUAAACCUUGUUUGUACAGUUCCACAAUUUAACAGAGUAAAACCAGAUAACACAAUCAAUACAAACAAUUCAUUUACUCUGCAUACACGAAAAAAAUAUCAUGAAGCAGAUAAAGUAUGAUGCAACAAUUCUCCCCAUAUAAACUUGCUUUCAUACACUCAUGAAAACUCUCCCCUUUAAUGCAUUAACAAAAAAGGAAUGCUUAGAUAUUUAUGCAGUUUUGAAAAACAGAGAAGCAUCAAACAAAUAUGAAAAUUUCAACAUAGUAAGGAUGUUCUCAAAAACACAAGUUCAUCACAAAAAUAUGAGUAAACUCCCCCUGAAAUGUAGGUGUGUGAUGAAACAUUGUGUAAAGAAGUGAUACUCCCCCUGUCAUUAUGCAUGAGUUAAAAAAAAAUUAAGCAUUACUCAAUUAUGCACAAUGCAGAAUAUCACAAAUCAAAUACCAGUUUAAGCACAGAUUUGUAUCAUUAUUACACAAUUCAAACACAUAUAUAUGCAAUGACACAAAUAUCAACAAUCUCACAAUAUUAUCUCAGUUAGAUAUAAAAACAGGUAAAGAACAAAGAUAAUAUCAUAAUUCUAAUGAUUAAAGCAGUUAGUAGGGAUAGGAGAUAAUUCCAAAAUUGGAAUUUUUUUAACCCAGUUUGGACGUAGUUGAAUGCUUUAACUCAUCAGUCGAAUGCAUUGGUUUCGAAAAUCUUGAAUUUCUAAUGUAUAUGUCCAAAGCAAUGUUCUCCCUGCAAAACCUUUUCCAGAUCAAGUAUAGUGGUUAUGCAAGAAUAAAAUCAAAUCAUAACAGAAGUCAAGUAUAGUGCUAGAUAAUUG
rnacentral:lncRNA from 1 species